CCUACGGGUGUCAGCAGUGGGGCAUAUUGCACAAUGGGGGAAACCCUGAUGCAGCGACGCCGCGUGAGUGAAGAAGUAAUUCGUUAUGUAAAGCUCUAUCAGCAGGGCAGCAAAUGACGGUACCUGAGUAAUAAGCCCCGGCUAACUACGUGCCAGCAGCAGCGGCAAUACGUAGGGAGCAGGCGUUAUCCGGAUUUACUGGGUGUAAAGGGAGCGUAGACGGCAGUGCAAGUCUGGAGUGAAAGUCGGGGGCUCAACCCCCGGACUGAGCAGGAAACUGUAAGGCUGGAGUGCAGGAGAGGUAAGUGGAAUUCGGAGUGUAGCGGUGAAAUGCGUAGAUAUUAGGAGGAACACCAGUGGCGAAGGCGGCUUACUGGACUGUAACUGACGUUGAGGCUCGAAAGCGUGGGGAGCAAACAGGAUUAGAUACCCGAGUAGUC
rnacentral:rRNA from 1 species